GAUGAACGCUAGCGACAGGCUUAACACAUGCAAGUCGAGGGGCAGCAUAAAAGUAGCAAUACUUUGGUGGCGACCGGCGCACGGGUGAGUAACGCGUAUGCAACCUACCUAUCAGAGGGGAAUAACCCGGCGAAAGUCGGACUAAUACCGCAUAAAACAGGGGCAACGCAUGGUGAUAUUUGUUAAAGAAAUUCGCUGAUAGAUGGGCAUGCGUUCCAUUAGGUAGUUGGUGAGGUAACGGCUCACCAAGCCGACGAUGGAUAGGGGAACUGGGAGGUUGGUCCCCCACACUGGUACUGAGACACGGACCAGACUCCUACGGGAGGCAGCAGUGAGGAAUAUUGGUCAAUGGGCGAGAGCCUGAACCAGCCAAGUCGCGUGAAGGAAGAAGGAUCUAUGGUUCGUAAACUUCUUUUGCAGGGGAAUAAAGUGCGGGACGUGUCCUGUUUUGUAUGUACCCUGAGAAUAAGGAUCGGCUAACUCCGUGCCAGCCGCCGCCGUAA
rnacentral:rRNA from 1 species